GAAGCUGAGGCACAAAGAGGUUAUAGAACUUGCCCAAAUUCAGACAGCUUAUAAAUGAGAGCCAGGAUUUGAAACCAGGAAGUUUGGCUUCAGAGCAGUGGCUUCACCAGUAUGUGAUUCUGCUUCACUUCGGCUCAAGGAACAGGGAGUCGCUGCACAGUAACCUCAGCAGGGGAAACAGCACCCAGUUUGCAAGGCUGUGAUCAAGAGGGAAUGCUGCAAAGAGCACCCAUCACAACAGGAAAUGAAUAAAUGGGAGCCAUUACUGUUAUCACCCUCUUGUUGGCUUAUAGGAGACAGCAGCUGUUACCAGACCCUCCUGUCUCCUGGAAGAUUACCAGAGUGGGCUCUCAAUGGGUUGACGAGCAAGGGGAGCUAUUUCCCAGAGCUGCAAACCUCCCAGGGAGUGCUCAGGCUCCAUCUCCACCAGUCCCCAGCUGCCCGCCAGCCAUAACUCUGGGCUGUGGCACCCGGGGGAACCGUGAAAGCCAAAGCUUUUACUCUCCACCUCCUGCACUUCAGGCUGUGAGAGACUGCCCUGCGCCUGUCCUCAGCCGUCUUUCCUGAGUGACUCUGUGCCCAAGCCUGUGGCCUUACGCAGGGCUCUAGGGUUUUAAUGGGACUCGGGCCUGAUCCCUGAUCUUGAGGACCAAGCAAGCAGGGAUGCAGAUGCUGACCAAUCCAGGGGAUCACUGACUGCACUGUCAGGAUGUCACUACGUAGAGGGAAUCUGUCUUUAUUUAUUGGCUCUUUCCUGUGCAGAAUCCAAGGGAGUCUCCCUCUGGCCCAGAUCCCUGGGAAGGAGGCCACAUAUAGAGGAUGACGUGAACCGGGACGGCAGGAAUGUGGGGUCCCCGGGGGCUCAGGACGGGGUCACAGUGGAAACCAGGAGGGCUGGCCUGCCAUCAGCCACGCAGCACGUGGGCUGUUAACGUGGCCAUGCAUUUAUGGAGGGCAGAUGCGGCGCUGCGUCUGUGUCUUUCACGUGGCCAAAUGCAACGAAGCAGAGCAUUCAUUUUCCUGUGAGACAGCAGACUGAGAGCUGCCUGACCACGCUCUGGCCGGGUCCUGGAUGACACUUGAGCUGUCCUCUCCCUGACCCCUCCACCUCCCUCUGCCCCAAGCCCAGGCCGCGUUCCCCUUGGUGGUUCUGCCGCCUCUACCGGGCUUCCCGUCUCCACUCCUGCCUCUCCCAUCCGUCCUUCAAAGGCUACCAGAAAGAUACACCAAAAACUCAAAUCUGAGCAAAUCCCCCCGGCCCUGCUUCCAACACUCCAGGCUUCUUCCCUCCCAACUGGAUGAAGCCCAAACUCCCUGGUCAGCCCUGCGGCCCUCCCCAAGCCUGCCUCCAAAUCCCCCCACUCCCCGCCUCUGCUCACACCCUGAACAGCCUUGAUCCCCCCAGCACAAUGCCCACUCUCGUGCCUCACCUGUCCCCUCUACCUGGCGCCCUUCUCCAGGGGUCCGUGGCUCAAUGUCAGUGCCUCUGGAAACCCGUCCACCCCACCGAGAGCCCCCGACGUGUCCCUGCUGAAGCAUGCAUUACACGGG